GUAGGGUGCGAGCGUUAAUCGGAAUUACUGGGCGUAAAGCGUGCGCAGGCGGUUCGCUAAGACCGAUGUGAAAUCCCCGGGCUUAACCUGGGAACUGCAUUGGUGACUGGCGGGCUAGAGUAUGGCAGAGGGGGGUAGAAUUCCACGUGUAGCAGUGAAAUGCGUAGAGAUGUGGAGGAAUACCGAUGGCGAAGGCAGCCCCUCGGGCCAAUACUGACGCUCAUGCACGAAAGCGUGGGGAGCAAACAGGAUUAGAUACCCUGGUAGUCCACGCCCUAAACGAUGUCAACUAGUUGUCGGGUCUUCAUUGACUUGGUAACGUAGCUAACGCGUGAAGUUGACCGCCUGGGGAGUACGGUCGCAAGAUUA
rnacentral:rRNA from 1 species